AUUGAACGCUGGCGGCAUGCCUUACACAUGCAAGUCGAACGGUAACGCGGGGCAACCUGGCGACGAGUGGCGAACGGGUGAGUAAUAUAUCGGAACGUGCCCAAUAGUGGGGGAUAGCCCGGCGAAAGCCGGAUUAAUACCGCAUACGACCUGAGGGUGAAAGCGGGGGAUCGCAAGACCUCGCGCUAUUGGAGCGGCCGAUAUCAGAUUAGGUAGUUGGUGGGGUAAAGGCCUACCAAGCCUACGAUCUGUAGCUGGUCUGAGAGGACGACCAGCCACACUGGGACUGAGACACGGCCCAGACUCCUACGGGAGGCAGCAGUGGGGAAUUUUGGACAAUGGGGGCAACCCUGAUCCAGCCAUUCCGCGUGAGUGAAGAAGGCCUCGGUUGUAAGCUCUUUGUCGGGGUACGGAAACGGUCGUCACCUAACUACGUGAGACUACUGA
rnacentral:rRNA from 1 species